GGGGCUGGCUAGGCUUUGACAUUUAAAUUUAGUUAAAAGAUGAAGCAAGUCGAUGUUAGUAAUCUUCGUAAAAAAAUUACACAUUAUUAAUAACUGCAAAUAAUAUUAUCUCGUUUAAACGUCACUACGUAAAAACAUCAUUAAUUCCAGCUUUCGCGUAAAAAAAUCCGAAAGUUAGUAUAAAUUUAAUUUUUAGUUAUACCCUAAAUUAUUAAAACUAGACUUUUAUAUUAUUUUAGUUUAGACUAAUAUCAAUGUUUAAAUGUUCAAUGAUUUUGAACUAAACUUGUGAAUGAGUUUUUUGAAAAAGUUUAAAUGGACAUGGGUUCAAUUCCCAUCAGCUCCAA
rnacentral:tmRNA from 1 species